UACAGGCGAUACACACACGAUAGAGAUAUACGAAGGUAGCUGGGGCUUCUUCUGAAAACACACGCCUAUACACACACACACACAAUACAUAUACACGCUUGGAGAAAGGGGGCGGCUUCUUCAUAAAAAACACAAUACAAUACACACAAUCUAUACAUUGAGACGCUGGAAGCUAAAGCUGCGCAGCUUUGCUUCUUCUGGAGGAAUUUUGAACAAAUACAUGCCUAUGCAGAGAAAAACAAUCCACACACGCCUAUACUAAUAGAGAGAACAAGAGAAAGCUGCGCAGCUUUUGGAAGACCUCUCUCCCAGCGAUCUCUCUUCUUCUUCGACCAAACGACCCCAUCGGAUACCUUCUUCAUCGUCUUCUUCAACCAAAAUGCAACAACAAGAGCAACGACCAUCUCCACCAACAGUUAGCUGUCCAUUUUCAAAAAAAAAAAAACAAACAAACCAAUUGGAUCUGAAAACUAAGAAAAGUCUCUGAAAAUUUUGAUUUUGAAGAAGUUUUUGAGGUCAAAAUUUGCUGCGUGAUUGUUGAGGUGCCGGACUGAUGUGAUUUCAAAAGAGUUUCCGUUCGAGCUCAUUGAAGGUUUACGGUGAGGUUAUUUUGGUUCGCGUCUUGUUCUAAUAUUCGCUUCUGGAUGAUUUCUGUUUGAAAUUUUGUACGUUGGCUCGGGGUUGUUGUUUAACGAGAGGUUCUGUCCCUUCUUCUUUAAUCUUGCUGCUUUUGUUUUCGUG
rnacentral:lncRNA from 1 species